GGAUUCUGUACUGGAGGAGGAAGCGGAAGUGGAUGGGGCAAUAGGGGAAGGGGUGCAGAGCUUCCUGCAUUCGCGUCACUUCCUCUUAAAGGAAAGUAAGGGGGCGGCAAAGGGAUCUCGGACUCAGGGGGCGUGUCCAAAAUGGGCCUAACACCAGUCCUAGUGGACAAACAAGUUCUGGCCACCAUGAGGCGACAUUGCUCCUCGUGGCAUAUCCGGAUCCAUUUUUGCGAGUCGUUUACGGCCUGCCCC